AGUUUUCCUCUCGUUGGACAAUUCAUCUGUCCGCUAAUUCUCUGCUCCGGUGGUGGCAUCAUAUUCAGAAUGCAGUUAUGAAGGCACGAAGGGUUAUCAUGGGCUUAACUUCACCUGCAAAACCUACCCAUAUUUUUCCAUUAGCCAUCUGCAAACUCUACCCAGUGGAUGACACCCUUGAUCAAGUUGAUGUUCUUGAUGGCGAUGUGUGCACUUACUUCACCUUGUUCAUGUUAGACCCAGAUGCCUCUAGUCCCAGUGACCCUGUUGGAUGCAAGUAUCUAUACAUUGGUAUAUUGCAAUGAUUUUCCCGCGUUUUCUCAUUCCGGUUUCAUUCAAGAAAUUAACCCUAUCCAGCCAACCUGGUGACAUUUAGUUAGGAUGAACACUCACAAAAGUAAAAGCGUUGGAUCAAUAGACUGGUCCUCACUUUGCAUUUCAUAAUACACUUUCAAGGCCGCCUCAAAAAACCCAUGCUUGGUAUAAGAUGAAAUCAUGGUAUUCCACGAGGCCACAUCCUAUUGGGGAGUUUCUUGAAAAAACUAUAGAUCUUCAUCAAGUCUUCCAUUCUAUACAUAUCUCGCAGUCAUUGAAUUCCAUGAAAUCAUGUCUUUUUGAGGCAAUUUUCCUUUGGCGAUUGCUUUAACAAGUUUGCAUAAGACAUGGAUGAUCUUCAUUUAGAAGAUGGUUAUCACGAUGCUAUGGAGAGCUUGGUAUCAUGGUUCAAUGGGAGCUUGUAGCAGUGAUGUGUACUCACCAUUGGAUGGUGGAUGAAAUUCUUAGUGUGCAGAUGUUUGGAGGAUGCCUUAGAUUCCGUUGCUGUAAAGGGUCUUUCACAUUUCUGGGUACACUUGUAGGAGAUGGGGAUCUUCAUGAUAUUUGAGGAUGUUUAGAUCUUGAGGGCUCAAGGAGUCCUUGGUUGAGGUAUCUUGAUGGAGCACAUGGAGAACUUGGAUUCCAUGAUGGUAUAUGUGCAUGGCGAGAACAAUCUCUUAUUGAUGUGAUGGAUUACGUCUUGGCCCUUAUGCAAUGUAUACAACAAGUGGGAGAAUGUUGGGAAAAUGGUGUUGUACACCUUGCAUAAUAAUGCUUCAUUGUUGUAUUAUUUUAUUAUUGUGUGAGGUGGACAUGGGACUGUUAUAAUAUCAUAUUGUAUUGUUGCACCUAGGAGCACCUAGAUGGACGUGCAACAUGUAGAGAUUCUCUUGGAAUAUUCUUGUAACCACUUGAUGAGUUGUAUUGACACAUUGGUAUUAUUAUAUUGUAUUUAUUUAAUAUUUAGGAAUAUAAUUAUGAUGAAGUACCCAAUAUUAAAUGUGGGUCAAGGGUAGGUAGGAAAAAUAUUAUAUUUUAUUGUCACAUGGUUUUGGGCACAUGGUUUUGAUGUAAUACCACUGGGUGGUUUUGUGGGAGGUUGUGUUUAUAAAAGAAACCACAAGGGUAGUUGUUUGGGUUGGUUAGUUAGCCAAGUUAGCAUUUGUGAAGGAAGGAAGAUGGCAUGGGAUGUGUGGAUUCAUGCUUGGUCACAUGGAGUUCUUGGUUAUGGCUGGGUUUCAGAAGCUUUCCAUAGUUGUAUUGUUAUGGACACAUUGUUGAAUAAUACAUGGUGAAUGAUGCUUUUGGAGGUUGGGUUUUUCCCUCACGAAGGUUUU